AUUGAACGCUGGCGGCAGGCCUAACACAUGCAAGUCGAGCGGAUGAAGGGAGCUUGCUCCUGGAUUCAGCGGCGGACGGGUGAGUAAUGCCUAGGAAUCUGCCUGGUAGUGGGGGAUAACGUCCGGAAACGGGCGCUAAUACCGCAUACGUCCUGAGGGAGAAAGUGGGGGAUCUUCGGACCUCACGCUAUCAGAUGAGCCUAGGUCGGAUUAGCUAGUUGGUGGGGUAAAGGCCUACCAAGGCGACGAUCCGUAACUGGUCUGAGAGGAUGAUCAGUCACGGUGGAAUAGAGACAAGGUCGAGACAAAUACGGGAUGCAGCAGUGGGGAAGAGUGGACAGUGGGCUAAAGAAUGAUACAGCCAUGCGGGGUGUGUGAAGAAGGUAUUCGGAUUGUAAAGCAAUUUAAGGUGGGAAAAAGAGAAGGAAGUGAAUACCUUGCUGCUAGGAGGGUACCAAAAGAAUAAGAAACGGCUAACCGAGUG
rnacentral:rRNA from 1 species